UGAGGAAUAUUGGUCAAUGGGCGCAAGCCUGAACCAGCCAUCCCGCGUGCAGGAAGACGGCGCUAUGCGUUGUAAACUGCUUUUCCAGGGAGAGAAACUUGCGCACGUGUUGCGCAAUUGACGGUACCCUGGGAAUAGGCAUCGGCUAACUCCGUGCCAGCAGCCGCGGUAAUACGGAGGAUGCAAGCGUUAUCCGGAUUCAUUGGGUUUAAAGGGUACGUAGGUGGCCCGGUAAGUCAGUGGUGAAAACCUGCCGCUCAACGGUAGGCGUGCCAUUGAUACUGUCAGGCUUGAGUACAGAUGAGGUAAGCGGAAUGUGUAGUGUAGCGGUGAAAUGCAUAGAUAUUACACAGAACCCCGAUUGCGAAGGCAGCUUACCAAACUGAGACUGACGCUGAGGUACGAAAGCGUGGGUAGCGAACAGG
rnacentral:rRNA from 1 species